UGCACUUUAACAAUGUGGGGUUUAACUUGAACAAAUGAAUUGUUGAUGUUGCAUUACAUUGUCAAUAAAGACAACUUCAGACAUAUAGGAGUUACAUUAAAGCAUUAUUAAAUCUGAACUUAUCAGACUUAACUUUUAGUAUGCUGAUUUGUGAAAAUAACUUUUAUUUUUUUAUUUUCAGACUCGACAAUCAAUAGCAUUAAAGCAACAGAGAAAUGUGUUGAUUUCAUGACUGACAUCCUUGAUUUCAAUAACAUUAAGGGAUUAAGAAGGAUGACGGAUUAGAUAAAGAUCUCAAACAGAACAGAAAAACUGCUAGCAGUGACCGUUGUUUUCAUGAACAGAAAAGCCCUGAUUUUAUCAGAAAUAUUUAUAGUUUUACAAUUACAGCUUUAUAAUGGUGGCAUAAAUCACAUACCUGAUGACAUUAUGUUACUUCAGUAAAGGUUUUUGUGGUGCAAUUGUGCUGUCACUUCCUUGUAAUACAGUCAACAUGUCACUAUACACUGACAGCAGCAAUUGCAGGCUAGUUAAAGGGUUUUGCCUUCACUAAUUA